rnacentral:tRNA from 1 species
AUUUAAAUAGCUUAAAUUUAAAGCGUAACAUUGAAGCUGUUAAAAUGAUUAAUUAAUCUUUAAAUA